ACUCAAAUGAAUUGACGGGGACCCGCACAAGCGGUGGAUGAUGUGGAUUAAUUCGAUGCAACGCGAAAAACCUUACCUACCCUUGACAUGGACAGAAUCCUGAAGAGAUUUAGGAGUGCUUGAAAGAGAGCUGUCACACAGGUGCUGCAUGGCUGUCGUCAGCUCGUGUCGUGAGAUGUUGGGUUAAGUCCCGCAACGAGCGCAACCCUUGUCAUUAGUUGCUACGAAAGGGCACUCUAAUGAGACUGCCGGUGACAAACCGGAGGAAGGUGGGGAUGACGUCAAGUCCUCAUGGCCCUUAUGGGUAGGGCUUCACACGUCAUACAAUGGUACAUACAGAGGGCCGCCAACCCGCGAGGGGGAGCUAAUCCCAGAAAGUGUAUCGUAGUCCGGAUUGGUGUCUGCAACUCGACACCAUGAAGUUGGAAUCGCUAGUAAUCGCGGAUCAGCAUGUCGCGGUGAAUACGUUCCCGGGUCUUGUACACACCGCCCGU
rnacentral:rRNA from 1 species